rnacentral:misc_RNA from 1 species
UUCCGCUCGAAAAGUCCAUUCGAAACCCUUAGACGAAACUCUCAGAAUUUUUUCCGAUCUUCCUCUUGUUGAUCCUCUCACUCGAGCAGAUCUGACGGCGAAGGCGAAGAAGCAAACGUCCGUUACUUAUGGAUCGAUUGCUCUCAGGCUGGUUUUCAUCGGAGUGUUGGCGUCGACAUUAGCUUCGUCAGGCGAUUGAUAGUUUGAUUAUCAUCUUCAGAUUCUAAAAUCAAAUCCAGUUCAACUGAAAUCGAUCUCGAUUGGAGAGGGUUAUUCAAUCAAUGAUGAUGAACUCGAACUCACGGCUUACUUCAAUGUCGUUCGGCGAAGAGAAAUAGAUGAGAAUGAUGAUAGAAUUUGGCUUUCGUUUCUCGAAGAAGAAAAAUAAGAAAGAAGUAGGUGAAUAGAGAAUUUUGAUUUCUCAAGUAUGAAGAAGAAGAAGAAGAAGAAGAAGAAGAAGAAGAGAAUGCGUGAGAGUUUAUUGAUGAUAAUAAGCAAACAAGGUUCUUGGUUCUAACCGUUGGGAUUAUAUUUAUUAAUCUAACCAUUGGGAUUAUAGAGGAAAUCUAAACUUAGAUCCGAUUUCCAUUUUACUAAUAUCAAUCUAAACUAAAGGAAAUUUCGUUUUGGUUUAUUUCCUUUUUUUAUAAUAUAUAACGGUUAGAAGAAUCAUCUUUUUUUAUUGGUUUGUUUAAGUAUGUAACUUCUUUUUGUCAAUAUUAUUGGCCUACUAAUUUUAUUCCAAAUGGUUCUAUGCUUUCUUUUAGGAUCAGGUU